GUGUGACACAGCCUAUACAGCAAACCAACCAAUCAGGUGGCACCUCUAUUGUCGGGUGUAAGAUAUCAGCCCGAAAAACUCUGCAUAAAUUCGGGUACACCUGACUGCAGGUGUUAUAUGGAUUAUUGGCGGCCGGACAUUUAAAUAUGCUAACAUCAUGGACACAAUGUUCGUUUAUCUGUAAUGUACAGAAAGAAGAGUUCAAGUUUCAUCUCUAGAAUCAGGUGUCAAGGGAAGUAACCAGCAUUGAUAGCUUCCGAGAAUAAGGGCGUGGACUUCAGAUUCAAUCAAACGACACCAGGAAUAAUUCAUGACUUCAGUUCAACAAGUGCGAUGUUUGUGCUGCUGAAAUAAGCACGAUUACCGGUGAAUUAAUGAAACUUCUUAAACAUUGUAAACAAGUCACAGAGUACAUCUGCUUCUGGGAAGAAAGAUAAAAUAUGAGAGGUCUUAAAAAUAUCAAAACAAAUUCUGACUAAUGUUACUUGGAAAUAUGUAGACAUACAUGGUUGCUUUAGAAGUCAUCUGUGGCAUGAGUUCCGUCUAUAUAUUUAUUCAU